GGGCAGUUGUCAGAUGGGCCUGGACCUGUUUUAUGUUAUUUUUUAUGAUCUAUUUGGGCUUGGACUUAUUUUAUGUCAUUUUUAUGCCCUAUUUAAAGGCGAAAAUGUCUUAGGGUUUGUAUGUUUUGAUGGCUUAGGCAGAAACACACUUUUCACCCCUUUGGGGCGAGAUUUGGAGAUGGUGACAACUCUCCUUUUCUCC
rnacentral:lncRNA from 1 species